GGGGAAUAUUGCACAAUGGGCGCAAGCCUGAUGCAGCGACGCCGCGUGGGGGAUGACGGCCUUCGGGUUGUAAACUCCUUUCGACAGGGACGAAGCGUUAAAAGUGACGGUACCUGUAGAAGAAGCACCGGCUAACUACGUGCCAGCAGCCGCGGUAAUACGUAGGGUGCGAGCGUUGUCCGGAAUUACUGGGCGUAAAGAGCUCGUAGGUGGUUUGUCGCGUCGUCUGUGAAAUCCCGGGGCUUAACCUCGGGCGUGCAGGCGAUACGGGCAUAACUUGAGUGCUGUAGGGGAGACUGGAAUUCCUGGUGUAGCGGUGAAAUGCGCAGAUAUCAGGAGGAACACCAAUGGCGAAGGCAGGUCUCUGGGCAGUAACUGACGCUGAGGAGCGAAAGCAUGGGUAGCGAAC
rnacentral:rRNA from 1 species